CGGAAGCGGAAGUGCGGGCGCCGGGGCUCGCGCCCCCUCAGAGCGGCCCGGGCCGCGGGCGGAGAUGGCGGCCGGGGCGGGGAACGCACCGAGACCCGCGCCACCUCAUCCCCUCCGCAAGCGCGGAACUUUAGCAAGGUGGCUCUUGUCGGAUGUAAUAGGCUGCAAAUGAAAACGGACUCUUCCGCGAUGCAAUGAAGGCGGUAAAAAAGGAUCAUGUCACAGACUUGGAAGUUAAGCGUCUGCCUUUAUG